UUCUAAUCUAUACGGAUUCCUUAUAUAAAUGUGGAAAUAAGGUCCACAAGUCUCUACCUGGCUACCGUAAAUGGCCGGACUAUAAGGAAAGUUAGCUGAUGA
rnacentral:ncRNA from 1 species